rnacentral:misc_RNA from 1 species
CCGAGUUAAGGUCCGCUGGGCCCGACCUCCUACCCUUUGUCUACCUUACCUCUUGUUGCUUCGGCGGAUCCGUCCCUCAAAGGGACCGCCGGGGAGUUCUCAAAAGCUCUCUGGCCCGCGUCCGUCGAUGGCCUACAAUUCGAACUCUUGCUUAAACGUGUCGCCUGAGUCUUAAACAAAAAUAAUUAA